AUCUAGCUGACGAGUCCCAAAUACGACGAAACGCGAGUCCUGGAU
rfam:Schistosoma rodhaini strain Burundi genome assembly, scaffold: SROB_scaffold0001536